UACGUAGGGGGCAAGCGUUGUCCGGAAUUAUUGGGCGUAAAGAGCUCGUAGGCGGCUCAGCAAGUCGGCUGUGAAAUCCCGAGGCUCAACCUCGGAACUGCAGUCGAUACUGCUGUGGCUAGAGUCUGGUAGAGGAGAAUGGAAUUCCCGGUGUAGCGGUGAAAUGCGCAGAUAUCGGGAGGAACACCAGUAGCGAAGGCGGUUCUCUGGGCCAGUACUGACGCUGAGGAGCGAAAGCGUGGGUAGCAAACAGG
rnacentral:rRNA from 1 species